AUACGGAGGAUCCGAGCGUUAUCCGGAUUUAUUGGGUUUAAAGGGUGCGCAGGCGGCCAUUUAAGUCAGCGGUUAAAUCGUGGGGCUCAACCCCAUUCUGCCGUUGAUACUGGGUGGCUUGAUUGCGGUCGAGGUUGGCGGAAUUCGUUGUGUAGCGGUGAAAUGCAUAGAUAUGACGAAGAACACCGAUUGCGUAGGCAGCUGACCAGACCGCAAAUGACGCUCAUGCACGAAAGUGCGGGGAUCGAACAGGAUUAGAUACCCUGGUAGUCCGCACAGUAAACGAUGAAUACUUGUUUUCGGCGAUAUAAUGUCGGAGGCAAAGCGAAAGUGAUAAGUAUUCCACCUGGGGAGUACGCCGGCAACGGUGAAACUUAAAGGAAUUGGCGGGG
rnacentral:rRNA from 1 species